UAAAAUGUGUUUGUCGUAACCGUCGGCUAAAUCGCGCAACGCUCGAAAAUAAUUUGAUUAAUGCUCGUGCUCAUGACUCGCACGCUCGACCGAAUAACAUCGAAUGAAUAGCCGCUAUCGGUCGUACGUAUCCUCGAUUCGCGUCAGACCCUAAUCAAUUCGCUGUGUAUUCGCGCGCAUCUUGUUUAUAAAGUUUUCACUGUAGUCCAGCAUGGCAGUUAUGAUGAAUAAUGAUAAUUACCGAAAGCGAAAUGGAACAGAGGUCAGGCGAUUCGCAAUGAUACCUCGGGAAAUCAUAGAUACCUGUCGCUCACACCGAGUUCGUCGUGCAACGGAACUAAGUUGACAUCGGCCGAGUAUUAAUCACUCCACUGACGUCACUUCGCUGAAAUAUCUAGACAAGAUUAAUCGUCUGUUUUUUAACGCUCGCAGCUUUAUUUUUAUGAUUCUAUCAUCGUGUCCUAUGCGACAGACCGACACUCGGACGAAGCCAAUGAAAAUGAAAAUCAUACCGGCACCGAGAAAAAGUUGCUAUAGAACGUGAAAGAUCCAUUCGACGAACUCAUAUACAUUCACAACGCGUCAGGGAAAACCUCGUAAAACUAUCGUCAGACCCUCGUUAUCAAUAUCUCGCCAGAUUUCGCAAACUACACCGUCGUAAAUGGUUACAGGUACGUCGCUUCUGUCUAUAUAUCAAUAACAAAUACGCGAAUGUGCUCACCGCGCCCGGCAAUAACGUUGACGAACGCGCUACUCAAACGUGCGAACGAGUUUAUAGCGCUUCAAUUUAUAUACAAUUUGAAAUUUGUAUUUUAUGGAGCAGAGGAAAUAUUAACGUUAAGGAAAGGCAGCGAAUGAUACGAACACCAUCUUAUUGCUGAAAUCAGUAAAUUAAUUAAAAUAUCGCGUAUCGUGCAGUGUGUCCCGUGUUGUGACUCACGCAAUGACAACGACGAUAUUUUACGUUAUCGCGAGCUAUACGCAAUGUAUACGGUGGAACGAACAAGUAGACGAAUUGGUAGAUCGUUGAAUUAACGGGACAACGGCGUUCGAUGUUAUCGUCCAGUCUAGGCGUUGGAAUUCAUUUUCACGGCAGAGCGAUAAAGAGACACGACGAUCUUCUAUAAUCCUUUUCUCAUUUUCACGGUUCAAGAAGGUCAUCUAUGUCGUUUGUCAAGCGAAAGCACGGUGUCACGUGCAAAGGCUGCGUGUCGUCGCGUGGAGGUGGUUUUCCCUGGCGUAGAAAACGGUUUCAGGAUAGGAGAGUGCAUUUUAUGUGUCGCCCUCAUAUUUCGAAGGGAGUGGAAGGGUGGAAAAAACUCGGGAUAAAAAGAAUCGAGCAAAUUGAUUUUUCUUCUCAAAGACUUGGAAUCCUAACGCCGUGGAGGGAGGAAGAGAGAAGAAGGGGGGACAACUUCGCCAUCGAAUAAUAUCUCUGUGCUUUUAUCUCGGCACAUGGAUGCUCUGUUACUUGACGUUCUAAAUAAUCAGCUUACUUAGGUAUAUCACAGACUUAAAGUACGUUGUUUCGCUUCAGGAAAUCGCACAAAAAGUUGGCAAUUUGAUCGCGUCAAGGUGCACCGUUUCUAACCCGUUUUACGAAAAAUUUCGCCUGAAUCUGCGCGAUGAGAAAACGCUAUGCGUCUAUGCAACGAUUAAUACGUUGCAUUAUACGAUAUGUACAUACGUGUAAUUUAACUAAGGAGAUAGAUACUAACAAACUCGUUAACAGCAAGUUACGCAAUUAUACCAAGUGAGAAACUUGGCGUAGGCGUGGAGCUUGUUUAAUUGACAUAAUAUGUAAUAUCUUAGGUAACGAGUUUCUACUUUGGACUUGGGAAAUCGAAGGCCAUUGUGAUGUAACGAACAUUAACGCAAACUCGAGGCUCAGUGAAUUAUUACAUUUCAAACGUUUCAUUCGGUUGUACCUUGGCGUUAUUAAAAAUCCUUUCGUAUCGUA